rnacentral:lncRNA from 1 species
AUGAUCAAAAGAGACAUCAAAUUGAAAUCAAAGCAGUAGGAACCUUGAAAUUGACAGGUAUACAGUUGACUAGAUAAAUGGCUAUCUUAUCCUUAACCGUUCUCAAAAGUAUGACCCUUUCUCCUCCCCAUUGGAUAGCUGCGAGGAUUAUCUUCUUAACUGGUUUCUUCCCAGUUUUGACAUUUACAGCAGCUUCUCUGUAUUCCUGACCUUCUUCUUUGCUUUCUUCGGCCUCUGAUUCAGAUCCCCAGUGAAGUGGAUAGCUCCUUAAGAAAACCCUUCUGGUAUUGUAGUCUUCAUAGCGAAAACUUCUUGCUUUCAUUCCG